UGGGUGGCGGAAUUGGCUUACGCGCGGCACUCAAAAUGCCGUGACCGCAAGGUCAUGUGGGUUCGACUCCCACUCCAGGCACAA
rnacentral:tRNA from 1 species